UACGAAGGGGGCUAGCGUUGCUCGGAAUUACUGGGCGUAAAGGGCGCGUAGGCGGACAGUUUAGUCAGAGGUGAAAGCCCAGGGCUCAACCUUGGAAUUGCCCUUGAUACUGGCUGUCUUGAGUUCGGGAGAGGUGAGUGGAAUGCCGAGUGUAGAGGUGAAAUUCGUAGAUAUUCGGCGGAACACCAGUGGCGAAGGCGACUCACUGGCCCGAUACUGACGCUGAGGCGCGAAAGCGUGGGGAGCAAACAGG
rnacentral:rRNA from 1 species